GUAGGUGGCAAGCGUUGUCCGGAAUUAUUGGGCGUAAAGCGCGCGCAGGCGGUUCUUUAAGUCUGAUGUGAAAGCCCACGGCUCAACCGUGGAGGGUCAUUGGAAACUGGGGAACUUGAGUACAGAAGAGGAAAGCGGAAUUCCACGUGUAGCGGUGAAAUGCGUAGAGAUGUGGAGGAACACCAGUGGCGAAGGCGGCUUUCUGGUCUGUAACUGACGCUGAGGCGCGAAAGCGUGGGGAGCAAACAGGGAUUAGAUACCCUGGUAGUCCACGCCGUAAACGAUGAGUGCUAAGUGUUAGGGGGGUUUCCGGCCCCCUUAGUGCUGCAGCUAACGCAUUAAGCACUCCGCCUGGGGAGUACGGCCGCAAGGCUG
rnacentral:rRNA from 1 species